CGGGGUCCUUUUGAAUUUAUUCUAAAGGUGAGAGUGGCGAACGGGUGAGUAACACGUUGGUGACCUGCCCCAGAGAGGGGGAUAACCAUUGGAAACGAUGGCUAAUACCCCAGAUGUCAUUACAGUUAGAGAGUAAUGUCUAAAGCUCCGGCGCUCUGGGAGGGGCCUGCGGCCCAUCAGCUAGUUGGUAGGGUAAUGGCCUACCAAGGCGAAGACGGGUAGGGGACGUGAGAGCGUGACCCCCCACACUGGUACUGAAACACGGACCAGAUACCUACGGGUAGCAGCAGCAAGGAAUAUUGCCCAAUGGACGAAAGUCUGAGGCAGCAACGCCGCGUGGAGGAUGAAGGCCUUCGGGUUGUAAACUCCUUUUCUGGGGGAAGAGAAAGGACGGUACCCCAGGAAUAAGUCUCGGCUAACUACGUGCCAGCAGCCGCGGUAAAACGUAGGAGGCGAGCGUUAUCCGGAUUUACUGGGCGUAAAGCGCGUGUAGGCGGUUUUCUAAGUCGGACGUGAAAGCUCCCGGCUCAACUGGGAGAGGUCGUUCGAAACUAGGAGACUUGAGGAUGGUAGAGGAGAGUGGAAUUCCCGGUGUAGUGGUGAAAUGCGUAGAUAUCGGGAGGAACACCAGUGGCAAAGGCGGCUCUCUGGGCCAUUUCUGACGCUAAGACGCGAAAGCUAGGGGAGAGAACGGGAUUAGAAACCCCGGUAUUCCUAGCCGUAAACGAUGUCAACUAGGUGUAGGGGGUAUCCAACCCCCCUGUGCUGCAGCAAACGCGAUAA
rnacentral:rRNA from 1 species